rnacentral:lncRNA from 1 species
CGGACAUGUCUACAACUGGGUUUAGGGAGAAUUAAAGGUGCUGUCCUGCUGGGAGUAGAGUGUUAAGAGGAGAAUUAAAGGUGCUGUCCUGCUGGGAGUAGACUGUUAAGAGGAGAAUUAAAGGUGCUGUCCUGCUGGGAGUAGACUGUUAAGAGGAGAAUUAAAGGUGCUGUCCUGCUGGGAGUAGAGUGUUAAGAGGAGAAUUAAAGGUGCUGUCCUGCUGGGAGUAGACUGUUAAGAGGAGAAUUAAAGGUUAAGGAGAAGACAUCACACGGUAUUUCCUUGGAGGAAACUGGACACUUUGGAGCGACUGAUCUGAUCUCACAACUGUUCUCGACAAAUAUCACAGUUUUACACACUUAAGGUGAGUUGAAUACCUAAAUGUGAUGAGACCUUGGAGACACGUCCCAAAUGGCAACCUAUUCCCUAUAUAGUGUGCUACUUUUGACC